UGCCUCAGUAACGGCGAGUGAAGCGGCAACAGCUCAAAUUUGAAAUCUGGCCCUUUCAGGGUCCGAGUUGUAAUUUGCAGAGGGUGCUUUGGUGUCGGCCGUGGUCUAAGUUCCUUGGAACAGGACGUCACAGAGGGUGAGAAUCCCGUACGUGGCCGCCGGUCUUCACCGUGUAAAGCCCCUUCGACGAGUCGAGUUGUUUGGGAAUGCAGCUCUAAAUGGGAGAUACAUUUCUUCUAAAGCUAAAUAUUGGCCAGAGACCGAUAGCGCACAAGUAGAGUGAUCGAAAGAUGAAAAGCACUUUGGAAAGAGAGUCAAAAAGCACGUGAAAUUGUUGAAAGGGAAGCGCUUGCAGCCAGACGUGCCCGCAGUUGCUCACCUGGGCUCUCGCCCGGGGCAUUCUUCUGCGGGCAGGCCAGCAUCAGUUCGGGCGGUUGGAUAAAGGCCUCUAUCACGUAUCUUCCUUCGGGAUGACCUUAUAGGGGAGGCGCAACACGACCAGCCUGAACUGAGGACCGCGCAUCAGCUAGGAUGCUGGCGUAAUGGCUGUAAGCGGCCCGUCUUGAAACACGGACCAAGGAGUCUAACAUCUAUGCGAGUGUUUGGGUGUAAAGCCCGGGCGCGCAAUGAAAGUGAACGGAGGUGGGAACCCCUCGGGGUGCACCAUCGACCGAU
rnacentral:rRNA from 1 species